rnacentral:rRNA from 1 species
UACGUAGGGGGCAAGCGUUGUCCGGAUUUAUUGGGCGUAAAGAGCGUGUAGGCGGCCAGGUAGGUCUGCUGUGAAAACUCGAGGCUCAACCUCGAGAUGUCGGCGGAAACCAUUUGGCUAGAGUCCGGAAGAGGAAAGUGGAAUUCCUGGUGUAGCGGUGAAAUGCGCAGAUAUCAGGAAGAACACCCGUGGCUAAGGCGGCUCUCUAGUACGGUACUGACGCUGAGACGCGAAAGCGUGGGGAGCGAACAGG